rnacentral:rRNA from 1 species
UACGUAGGGUGCAAGCGUUGUCCGGAAUUAUUGGGCGUAAAGGGCUCGUAGGCGGUCCAUCGCGUCGGUUGUGAAAAGCUGGGGCUCAACCCCAGUCCUGCUUCCGAUACGGGUGGACUAGAGGUAUGCAGGGGAGAACGGAAUUCCUGGUGUAGCGGUGAAAUGCGCAGAUAUCAGGAGGAACACCGGUGGCGAAGGCGGUUCUCUGGGCAUUACCUGACGCUGAGGAGCGAAAGCGUGGGGAGCAAACAGG